AAACUUUCAACAACGGAUCUCUUAGGUUCUGGCAUCGAUGAAGAACGCAGCGAAAUGCGAUAAGUAAUAGUGAAUUGCAGAAUUUAGUGAAUCAUCGAAUCUUUGAACGCACAUUGCGCCCCUCGGUAUUCCGGGGGGCAUGCCUGUUCGAGCGUCAUUA
rnacentral:rRNA from 1 species